UGAAGAUGAAGGGAAAAGAUAUCAUGAAGAAGACGACGAGAGUGCCAUGCAAUUCCUGCGAAUUCUCCAGCAGCAGAUACGGAUUUGAACAAAGUCUACAGGAUCAAGACAAUGAAGAAACAGUGCUGCGGAAAGAAGUCAUGAGAUUACGAUCCCUGAUCAGGAGGAUGACUGGUAGAGACGACGAUGCGAGCUUCACUGAGCUGCAAGCACUUACAAGUCAUCUCGGGAAUGUCAAACGCAUUGUCAUGGACCAAAUAGUGAGGAAACUUCUUCAUUCAGGGACUUCCUUCUCCUAUUAUUGAAAAAAUUUUGUUUGACUAUUAUUCCAGAAUAAGAUAAUGCCACCAGACCAAGUUGAAAGCAAACAGAAGAAGAAUAAAGCUGAGGAUGUUGCUACGAGUAUUCCGGUUCCCUCUACUAGCAGGUAAAACGAAAAAAUAGAGGGUUUUCUUUUGUUGAAUUAGUGCUUGUGUAAAUCAGAUAUGAAACUUCGACUUGUAAACCAAAAUCAGGUUUUAUGAGAGAUCACUUUUUUGCUCUACCUGUCUUGCUGCAGUUGCUUUUUUUUUUUUUGUAUCACUAUACCAAUUUGAACUUUCUCUUGUGUAUAUAACCCUGAACAAAGACGGGAGAAACACUGCUGAAAAUGGAGAGGGAAUUCGAGAGACGAAAAUCUGAAUCCUUGCAGAGGAGUUCGAGAGAUUAAGGAUUUACAACGAGAGAAUGAACGGUAGAGGUAUUGAGAGUAUGAGCUGCUACCAUGACGUGGUCCAGCUUGAUUCUCAGAUAACUUACGCUUUGAUGAGUUUAUCGGAGCAAAUGAGAAGACCACUAGAGGAACAACUUUGCAAGGCAGAGCAGGGCAAGCAUGUAGUGAAGAUUUAUGGUAAGCCUAUUACUGAUGAGAACAAGGAACUGAGGAGAUCUGUUCGUUUGGCCAAGAAAAAGGAAUGAGGAGAAAGUCUCUCACUAAGUGGCUUGGGAGCUUCUAUCUUGACAUAGAGUCUUCUAUUUGCUUAUUAUGGAGUUGAUGUCGUUUUUAUGUUAACAUUAGACCAACUUUAGGUUUGAGUAUCUUUAUGACAUUAAUAUCAAAUCUCUCAUUUCUCGCCUCUUUAAAUAAAUGUCAUGGAUGUGUGUAGAAUCUA